ensembl:lncRNA
GCAACCAGCAACUGAUCUGCUUCAGGAUAUUGAAAAGUUCACAAGGAGCUGCCAAGAAGCUCAUUCAUCUGAGAAUUCUGCAGUAACUCUAUCUGCUGUGUUUAAGUGGAGGAUCUCAAACUUCUGUGAUGUCAGUUCCUUUCUGAAGGAAGUCAUGGAGCAAUUUCAAGGCACUUACAUAUCCAGACUUCCAUAUCAGAAAG